GUAAAUAUAGUUUAAAAAAAACAUUAGAUUGUGAAUCUAAUAAUAGAAGAUUAUACCUCCUUAUUUACC
rnacentral:tRNA from 11 species